rnacentral:rRNA from 1 species
GAUGAACGCUGGCGGCGUGCCUAAUACAUGCAAGUCGAGCGAACAGACGAGGAGCUUGCUCCUUCGACGUUAGCGGCGGACGGGUGAGUAACACGUAGGUAACCUACCUAUAAGACUGGGAUAACUUCGGGAAACCGGAGCUAAUACCGGAUAAUAUUUCGAACCGCAUGGUUCGAUAGUGAAAGAUGGCUUUGCUAUCACUUAUAGAUGGACCUGCGCCGUAUUAGCUAGUUGGUAAGGUAACGGCUUUCCAAGGCAACGAUACGUAGCCGACCUGAGAGGGUGAUCGGCCACACUGGAACUGAGACACGGUCCAGACUCCUACGGGAGGCAGCAGUAGGGAAUCUUCCGCAAUGGGCGAAAGCCUGACGGAGCAACGCCGCGUGAGUGAUGAAGGUCUUCGGAUCGUAAAACUCUGUUAUUAGGGAAGAACAAACGUGUAAGUAACUGUGCACGUCUUGACGGUACCUAAUCAGAAAGCCACGGCUAACUACGUG